rnacentral:rRNA from 1 species
AACGAACGCUGGCGGCAGGCUUAACACAUGCAAGUCGAACGCCCCGCAAGGGGAGUGGCAGACGGGUGAGUAACGCGUGGGAACGUGCCCUUCGCUUCAGGAUAGUCCCGGGAAACUGGGUUUAAUACUGGAUACGCCGUAUUGGGAAAGAUUUAUCGGCGAAGGAUCGGCCCGCGUUGGAUUAGCUAGUUGGCGGUGUAAUAGACCACCAAGGCGACGAUCCAUAGCUGGUCUGAGAGGAUGAUCAGCCACACUGGGACUGAGACACGGCCCAGACUCCUACGGGAGGCAGCAGUGGGGAAUCUUGGACAAUGGGCGCAAGCCUGAUCCAGCCAUGCCGCGUGAGUGAAGAAGGCCUUAGGGUUGUAAAACUCUUUCGCCGGAGAAGAUAAUGACGGUAUCCGGAGAAGAAGCCCCGGCUAACUUCGUGCCAGCCGCCGCUGUAAUAC